rnacentral:rRNA from 1 species
UACAGAGGUGGCAAGCGUUGUUCGGAAUUACCGGGCGUAAAGGGCGCGUAGGUGGCCUUCUUAGUCAGACGUGAAAUCCCCAGGCUUAACCUGGGAACUGCGUCUGAUACUGGAAGGCUCGAGUUCGGGAGAGGAAUGUGGAAUUCCAGGUGUAGCGGUGAAAUGCGUAGAUAUCUGGAGGAACACCGGUGGCGAAGGCGGCAUUCUGGACCGAAACUGACGCUGAGGCGCGAAAGCCAGGGGAGCAAACGGG